ACCAAACACUCUCAAAAUUUGAACUAUAGAUGUGAUACCAAUUUUACGAAAAGGCUAAGAGUGCUAGUCCUAAUUUCAUUGCAUAAAUCCCAAGUUGCCAAUACAAACCUUGACUUUCAACAUUAACUCCAAAGUCCACACAACUCCUACCAAAACCAACCUUAUGUCUCUAGAAAAAGCUCUAACCUAGCUCUCAAAUCCUAAUCUUUGAUCUUCAAAUAAAAUCCUAUUUUGUCCUAGGCGGUUGUUUUAGUGGCUAGAGGUUUGAUUUUGACCCUAUCUCACAAAUGGCCAACCCUCGGAUAUCAAUCUAACCUAUUCUAAGGGUUUUUUAGUCC
rnacentral:lncRNA from 1 species